UAGGGCGCAAGCGUUAUCCGGAAUUAUUGGGCGUAAAGAGCUCGUAGGCGGUUUGUCGCGUCUGCCGUGAAAGUCCGGGGCUCAACUCCGGAUCUGCGGUGGGUACGGGCAGACUAGAGUGAUGUAGGGGAGACUGGAAUUCCUGGUGUAGCGGUGAAAUGCGCAGAUAUCAGGAGGAACACCGAUGGCGAAGGCAGGUCUCUGGGCAUUAACUGACGCUGAGGAGCGAAAGCAUGGGGAGCGAACAGG
rnacentral:rRNA from 1 species